rfam:Oryza glaberrima chromosome 1 Oglab01_0312_5, whole genome shotgun sequence.
UAUAAGUGUAACCAUAAGUUUCCAUAUCCAAUUUUGAAUAUCCGUCUUAUUUAAUUUUUUUUAUAAUUAGUAUUUUUAUUGUUAAAACAUGACUAGUACUUUGCGCGUCACUUAUGUUUUCAAAUUUUUUCAAAUAAGACGGACAAUCAAAGUUGGGCACGGAAAAUCAUGGCCACUUAAA